UAACACGUAGUCAACCUACCUCUUAGUGGGGGAUAACUAGCCGAAAGGUUAGCUAAUACCGCAUACGAUCUUUGAUAGGCAUCUAUUAAAGAUGAAAGGAGCAAUUCGCUAAGAGACGGGACUGCGUCCCAUUAGUUAGUUGGUGGGGUAAUGGCCUACCAAGACUCCGAUGGGUAGCUGGCUUGAGAGAGCGACCAGCCACACUGGAACUGAGACACGGUCCAG
rnacentral:rRNA from 1 species